rnacentral:rRNA from 1 species
UGGGGAAUAUUGCACAAUGGGGGAAACACUGAUGCAGCGACGCCGCGUGAGAGAAGAAGUAUCUCGGUAUGUAAAGCUCUAUCAGCAGGGAAGAAAAUGACGGUACCUGACUAAGAAGCCCCGGCUAACUACGUGCCAGCAGCCGCGGUAAUACGUAGGGGGCAUGCGUUAUCCGGAUUUACUGGGUGUAAAGGGAGCGUAGACGGCGGAGCAAGUCUGAAGUGAAAGCCCGGGGCUCAACCCCGGGACUGCUUUGGAAACUGUUCUGCUAGAGUGCUGGAGAGGUAAGUGGAAUUCCUAGUGUAGCGGUGAAAUGCGUAGUUAUUAGGAGGAACACCAGUGGCGAAGGCGGCUUACUGGACAGUAACUGACGUUGAGGCUCGAA